UGCAAGUGGUUUUUUCUUUAAAAAAAUUUAUUUUAAAGAUUGACAUUAACAUACCCUUGGGCAACCUAAUUGUUUUGGUCCGAUGAUCUAAUGAUGGUUUCACCUGAUAAACUAGAUUGGAUCUCCUAUGCAUGUGCCAUGUUGGCAUGUCUAUUUGUGUAGAGAUGACUAUGGAGGGGAUUGCAAACCGCUAAGGCCUUGUGCCUAGGUAUAGUAAUUUGCCACAUUUAGCUGUAUGUUUCUUGCAAUUUUGUUUUAAGUAACUAGCAAUAUCUAGGCCAUGCCUAGACAAUCUCCUUUUGAUUUUUACAUGGAUGCUUAUUCAAAAAAUGAUGUGUGUAGCGUUGUUGGUUGACAUGAGCUGGUUUUUGGCUGCAGGUAAUUGAUUAUGGAGUUCAUAAGCUUUGGAAAUACAAUAACGUUGGGGUAUUUUAUCUAUUACCUACCUUGUCAAUUCCAUGUUGAAUUGCCUCAUUGAGCUGCUUGUAAAAACUAUCUGGUCCUCUUCUUAAUGGACCUUUUUUUUCAAAAGGAGGGGUCUCGCCCCUAUAUUUGCCAAUAUGAACAGGGGAUGGACAAUCCACACACAUUCAGGUGGGCACCACAAAAAUGUCGGGCCUCACAGAGAGCAGGAGGCCAUUUCACGCACUCCAUGAUGUUGGUCUGAUUAAAACAAUGACCGAAAAUUGCUUCUUUGGUGCUCUUAAGGAGUUACUGUACCUGUAUGGAUUUGUCAUCGACAAUAAUCCAGAUGACUAUCUCAUGAGUAUGAUGGCAAUUAAUAUAACUAAUCAACAUGCAGUUGGAUGAAAAUUUGGUAAUCUGAUUAUAAUUUAGUACAGGUUCAUUAUCUAAUGGAAGCCUUUCAGAGUGUUCCAAUAGCUGAUUCCAAAGUGCAACUUCUAGAAAUACAGAAGGCUGAAAUGAGGUGUCUCUUACCAAGAAGUCUACUAGAUCAUGGAUUUUUUUUCUGGAUCCCCUCUGCAUGAAGAAGACAGGAAUAAGAAAUCAAAUGGCCUAUUUUGCAGUGUCUUUUUUGUGCUACAGGCUCGUGAGAAGUUUCUAUCAUUGAGGAAAGGUACAAAGUCGAAUGUUGAUGCUGUCUUAGAAGAGGACCUCCACAUUGCAAGGUCUUCAUUCGAGCGGGCUCAUUAUCAUCAUUCUUGUCAUGAUGGAAUUAAAAAAUGAAUCACUUUCAGGUUGUUGCUAGUUUCACAUGCCCAAGACGCACCGUCCUUGAUGAGAGGCUUAAGUGUAGUGAGCAUUCAACUGCAGUAUUAAUUGGUACCUUGCUUCAUCAAAAUUUUUAGGUUUUAUGUUCAAAAAUUGCCUUUUCUAAGAAACAGGAUCUGCAUAAAUGGUCCCAAAUGUCACUGACUUCACAAACCAUAGUUAAAAAAAGGAUCUCAUCCAAUGUGUAUCUUUGCUAUCUAGAUAUCUCUCAUGUUACCAGAGUUGAGGCUGUGUGUGUCGGUUUGUGCAAGGGCCAUACUAUUGUGGUGUCGGAGCUGACAAGGCAUUUAGACGAUCCUGCAGUUGGUUAUACUUACAAUCCGUGAUCUGUUGUAUUCUGAAAUUUGUUUAUUUAGAAAUGUGAAUGUAGGAUGCAUUGUAUGAUUUGAUUGCUAUUUGUAAUAUGAAUGCAUCACUUUCUUU